rnacentral:rRNA from 2 species
CCUACGGGAGGCAGCAGUGGGGAAUAUUGGGCAAUGGGCGGAAGCCUGACCCAGCGACGCCGCGUGAGGGAUGAAGGCCUUCGGGUUGUAAACCUCUUUCAGCAGGGAAGAAGCGAAAGUGACGGUACCUGCAGAAGAAGCACCGGCUAACUAUGUGCCAGCAGCCGCGGUAAUACAUAGGGUGCAAGCGUUGUCCGGAAUUAUUGGGCGUAAAGAGCUCGUAGGUGGCUCGUCACGUCGAAUGUGAAACCCUGAGGCUCAACCUCAGGCCUGCAUCCGAUACGGGCGAACUGGAGUGUGGUAGGGGAGACUGGAAUUCCUGGUGUAGCGGUGGAAUGCGCAGAUAUCAGGAGGAACACCAAUGGCGAAGGCAGGUCUCUGGGCCACUACUGACACUGAGGAGCGAAAGCGUGGGGAGCAAACAGGAUUAGAUACCCUGGUAGUCCACGCUGUAAACGGUGGGCACUAGUUGUGGGAACCUUCCACGGUUUCUGCGACGCAGCUAACGCAUUAAGUGCCCCGCCUGGGGAGUACGGUCGCAAGACUAAAACUCAAAGGAAUUGACGG